ACUAAACCCUAAAGUUUGUUUUCUUCUUCUUCUCUUUCAUUUUCUUUUUCCACGACUACUUCUACUGGCUUCUGUUAUCUACAUCUGGUUUAGAAGACUACCUAAUCCACAUCUCAAGGUUUCAAUCAACGCCCUACACAGACUAGUGUCAAAUCACAGUUUUUGUCAAAUGGCGAAUAAAGAGAUGGAUGGUGCAAAGAGUUAUGCUAGAAGAGACAAGUUAUUGGGAAUUGAGAGAGAUGUUCAAACCUGGUGGGAUGAGAGUGAUGUGUUUCUGGCAGAAUCUUGUAAAAAUCCUCCAAAACUAGGUGAAAAAUUCUUUGGAAAUUUCCCUUAUCCCUACAUGAAUGGAUUACUUCACCUUGGUCAUGCAUUUUCAUUGUCAAAGCUCGAAUUCGCUGCUGCUUAUCAAAGAUUGAGAGGUGCCAAUGUACUUUUGCCUUUUGGUUUCCACUGUACUGGAAUGCCCAUUAAGGCCUCUGCUGAUAAAUUGGCCCGGGAGAUUGAAAGAUUUGGAAAUCCACCUGUAUUCCCGUCGAAAGAGGACCAGAUCAUUAACAAAGUACCAGAACCAGAAGUUGAUACAAGUGGAAAAACUGAACCUGAUAAAUUCAAAAGCAAAAAAUCCAAGGCUGCGUCAAAAUCGGGUGGUGAAAAGUACCAAUGGGAGAUUAUGAAAGAGUAUGGACUCGCAGAUGCUGAAAUCUCUAAGUUCCAAGAUCCAUCUCACUGGCUCAUCUAUUUUCCUCCUGUUGCUAAAGAAGACCUUAAAGCAUUUGGCUUGGGUUGUGAUUGGCGGAGAUCCUUCAUCACAACAGAUAUGAAUCCUUAUUAUGAUUCAUUUGUCAGGUGGCAGAUCGGGAAAUUGAAGGAGAUGGGGAAGAUUGUGAAGGAUUUGAGGUAUGCCAUCUACUCUCCGUUAGAUGGACAGCCAUGUGCUGAUCAUGAUAGGGCAUCAGGUGAAGGUGUGCUGCCGCAAGAUUAUACCUUGAUUAAAAUGGAAGUGGUUCCACCUUUCCCUGCUAAAAUGGGAUCUUUGGAAGGAAAGAGAGUGUUCUUGGCUGCUGCCACAUUGAGACCCGAGACCAUGUAUGGGCAAACGAAUGCCUGGAUUUUGGCUGAAGGCAAAUACGGAGCCUAUGAAAUCAACGACACCGAUGUGUUUGUCGUCACUGAGAGGGCUGCCCUUAACCUUGCCUAUCAGAACCUUUGUAAGGUUCCAGAGAAGCCGACUUGCUUGGUUGAGCUGAUUGGUCAAGAUUUGAUUGGUUUGCCCCUACAGUCCCCUCUAUCUUUUAAUGAGAUCAUAUACACACUUCCAAUGAUGAACGUCCUAACUGAUAAGGGUACUGGGAUCGUCACUAGUGUUCCAAGUGAUUCCCCUGAUGAUUAUAUGACUAUGCAUGAUUUGAAAACAAAACCAGCUCUGAGAGCAAAAUUCGGUGUGAAGGACGAGUGGAUAUUGCCCUUUGAGGUUGUACCCAUAAUCAACAUCCCUGAGUUUGGGGACAAAUCAGCUGAAAAGGUAUGCAUGGAUUUGAAGAUCAAGAGCCAGAAUGAGAAGGAGAAGCUUGCUGAAGCAAAGAGGUUGACUUAUUUAAAAGGGUUCACAGAAGGAACUAUGCUUGUUGGAGAAUUCGCAGGUAUGAGGGUCCAGGAUGCGAAGCCAUUGAUUAGGACCAAGCUUCUAGAAAAUAGCCAGGCGGUUAGUUACAGUGAACCAGAGAAGAAAGUUAUGUCCAGAUCAGGUGAUGAGUGUGUUGUGGCCCUUACAGAUCAAUGGUACAUCACAUAUGGUGAAGAAGGAUGGAGGAAAAUGGCUGAGGAAUGUUUGUCCAACAUGAAACUCUACCAUGAUGAGACACGCAAUGGGUUUGACCACACCUUGAGCUGGUUGAAUAAGUGGGGUUGCUCACGCUCUUUUGGCUUGGGGACUCGUAUACCUUUUGACGAGCAGUUCCUCGUCGAGUCCUUGUCGGAUUCCACACUUUACAUGGCAUAUUACACCAUUGCCCAUAUGUUACAAAAUGGGGAAAUGUAUGGAAGAGAUACAUCUCUGGUGAAACCGGAGCAGAUGACAGACGAGGUUUGGAAUUAUGUUUUCUGUGAGGGUCCGUACCCUAAAUCAUCAACCAUCUCUCAAUCUGUUCUCAACAAGAUGAAGCAGGAGUUUUCUUACUGGUACCCAUUUGAUCUUAGAGUCUCUGGGAAGGAUUUGAUACAGAACCAUCUGACAUUUACUAUCUACAACCACACAGCGCUUUUACCACAACAUCAUUGGCCUCGUGGUUUUCGAUGCAAUGGCCAUAUUAUGCUCAACUCUGAGAAGAUGUCCAAGUCGACUGGAAAUUUCAAGACACUUCGCCAGGCAAUUGAGGAUUUUUCUGCGGACGCCACAAGGUUUGCUUUAGCUGAUGCUGGUGAUGGUAUGGAUGAUGCAAAUUUCGUCUUUGACACCUCGACAUCUGCGAUUAUGCGACUCACUAAAGAAAUCUCAUGGAUGGAGGAAAUUCUGGAAUCUGAGUCUUCACUCAGAUCAGGCCCCCCCUCUACUUAUGCAGAUAAGGUUUUUUCUAAUGAGAUAAAUAUUGCUGUCACUGAGACUGAGAAGAACUUCAAUGAAUAUAUGUUCCGGGAUGCUCUAAAGACAGGGUUUUAUGACUUACAAGCUGCUAGGGAUGAAUAUAGAUUUUCAUGUGGAAUCAGUGGGAUGAACCGUGACCUAUUAUGGCGAUUUAUGGAUGUUCAAACACGGUUAGUUACUCCAAUUUGUCCCCACUAUGCGGAAUACGUUUGGAGAAAGCUCUUGAAGAAGGAUACCUUUGCUAUAAAAGCAGGUUGGCCCGUGGCUGACAAACCUGAUCUCACUCUGAGGAGAGCCAACAUGUAUUUGCAAGAGACAAUAGCCACUAUGAGAAAGUUGCUCGAGAAACAAAUAUCAGGGUCGAAAAAACCUAAUAAGAAGGCGUCAGCAGCUACUCUUCCAAGUACAGAGAACAAACCCACAAUAGGGCUGAUAUAUGUCAACGAGCAUUACGAUGGAUGGAAAGCUGAAUGCUUAAAUAUUCUCCGAGCCAAUUUUGACACCGAAGCGCGCCAAUUCGCACCUGAUUCAGAGAUUCAAUCAGCUUUGAAGCAGAGUAGUGUUGGGCAACAAGCAAAUUUCAAGCAAGUACAGAAGCUUUGCAUGCCGUUUAUGAAGUUCAAGAAGGAUGAGGCACUUUCGGUUGGGAUUCAAGCCUUGGAUUUGAUGCUACCAUUUGGUGAGAUAGAGGUCCUCAGGGAGAAUCUGGAGCUAAUCAAAAGACACUUGGGUCUUGAGCAAGUACAAGUGUUGAAUGCAUUGAAUGAUGAUGAUAUCAACAUAGCUGGACAGCAUGCAAACUUGUUACGCCAAACUCCACCUUCACCAGGAAGUCCAACUGCCAUUUUUUUGAGCUAGUAGGUUGGAUUGCACCUUGAGGCUCCCCAAGAACUAAUAAAUGACAUCCAGAUGAACUCGACGAGGAAGAUUACAAGUGUGCUGGGAAGUUUUGUAUUGGACGUUUUGCUUUGCUAUUAACUUGUUAAUACUAUAAUUAGAUUUUACAAACUCUUUUUCUCAUCUUUAAGUUUCCUUCUAUUUAUUUAGUACUUCGCAUCGGAUUUCAAGGGAUUUUAAAAAUAUCAGAAAUGUCUCCCUGGCUCUUCAUCGGUGCAAACUGGAACACCAUUUCUCAUCUUGGAGAAUUGCAGUUUCGGUGUACCAUCCUGUUAGUGGAGCAGCUCCAUUUAACUUAAACCUCUUUCUGAGAAGAC